GUGCCAGCAGCCGCGGUAAGACGAAGGGCGCAAGCGUUAUCCGGAAUUACUGGGCGUAAAGGGCGUCUAGGCGGCCAGUCAAGUCGACGUUGAAAUUCCUCGGCUAAACUGAGGGAGGUACGUCGAAACUGACCGGCUAGAGGGACGUAGAGGUAAGCGGAACUCUCGGAGUAGCGGUGAAAUGCGUAGAGACCGAGAGGUACCCCGAUGGUGAAGACAGCUUACUGGGCGUCUCCUGACGCUGAAGCGCUAAGGCCAGGGGAGCGAAGGGGAUUAGAUACCCCCGUAGUCCUGGCUUCAAACUAUGUGGGCUUGGUGUCGGCUCCCGAUAGAGAGUCGUUGCCGGAGCUAACGUGUUAAGCCCACCGCCUGGGGAUUACGUCCGCAAGGAUGAAACUCAAGGGAAUUGACGGGGGCCCACACAACCGGUGGAGCACGUGGUUUAAUUCGAUGAUAAGCGAAGAACCUUACCAGGGCUUGACCUAC
rnacentral:rRNA from 1 species